GACGUAGGGCGCGAGCGUUGUCCGGAUUUAUUGGGCGUAAAGAGCUCGUAGGCGGCCUGUCGCGUCGUCCGUGAAAACCCGGAGCUCAACUCCGGGCCUGCAGUCGAUACGGGCAGACUGGAGUUCGGCAGGGGAGACUGGAAUUCCUGGUGUAGCGGUGAAAUGACGCAGAUAUCAGGAGGAACACCGGUGGCGAAGGCGGGUCUCCGGCGGACACUGACGCUGAGGAGCGAAAGCGUGGGGAGCGAACAGG
rnacentral:rRNA from 1 species